rnacentral:rRNA from 1 species
GUGGGGAAUUUUGCGCAAUGGGGGAAACCCUGACGCAGCAACGCCGCGUGGAGGAAGAAGGUUUUCGAAUCGUAAACUCCUGUCCGGAGGGAAGAAGAAGUGACGGUACCUCUGGAGGAAGCCCCGGCUAACUCCGUGCCAGCAGCCGCGGUAAUACGGGGGGGGCGAGCGUUGUUCGGAUUUACUGGGCGUAAAGGGCGCGUAGGCGGUCUCAGAAGUUCCGGGUGAAAGCCCCCGGCUCAACCGGGGAAGUGCCUGGAAAACCAUGGGACUGGAGUGCUGGAGAGGCAAGCGGAAUUUCUGGUGUAGCGGUGAAAUGCGUAGAUAUCAGAAGGAACAUCCGAGGCGAAGGCGGCUUGCUGGACAGACACUGACGCUGAGGCGCGAAAGCUAGGGGAGCAAACGGGAUUAGAAACCCUAGUAGUCC